UACGGGGGGAGCAAGCGUUGUUCGGAAUCACUGGGCGUAAAGGGCGCGUAGGCGGUCAGGUAAGUGAGAUGUGAAAUGCCCCGGCUCACCCGGGGACCGGCAUCUCAUACUGCUUGGCUUGAGUACGGGAGGGGAGAAUGGAAUUCCCGGUGUAGCGGUGAAAUGCGUAGAUAUCGGGAGGAACGCCGGUGGCGAAAGCGAUUCUCUGGCCCGUUCCUGACACUGAGGCGCGAAAGCUAGGGGAGCAAACAGG
rnacentral:rRNA from 1 species